UACAACAAUAUAUGUAGUCUCUUAACUGUCAUUUUGUUACCGAACGGGCUUCUGCUAAAACCUUCCGUGUACGUGGAAGAGAGAAAUUACGUCGUCAGCGAAAGGCACAAGGCUCGAAAUUUUUGGAGAGGGUCCAGUCGAUUAGAUCGACCCCAGUACUCAACUGGUACUUAAUUUAUCGACGCCGAAAGAAUGAAAGGCAAAGUUGACCUCGGUGGAAUUUGAACUCAGAACGCACAAGGCCCGAAAUUUUUGGAGAGGGGACCAGUCGAUUAGAUCGAACCCAGUACGUAACUGGUACUUAAUUUAUCGACGCCGAAAGAAUGAAAGGCAAAAUCGACCUCGGCGGCAUUUGAACUCAGAACAUAAAGACA